GUCUAAGGCCAUAUCACCUGGAAUGUGCCCAAUCUCAUCUGGUCUUGAAAGCUAAGGAGGGUCGGGCCUGGUUAGUACUUGGAUGGAAGACAGAUCUUCAGAAGAGACUGCUCAGAAACAAGCAGUUUGGAGA
rnacentral:rRNA from 1 species